rnacentral:rRNA from 1 species
UUACAAUGGAGAGUUUGAUCCUGGCUCAGGAUGAACGCUAGCGGCAGGCCUAAUACAUGCAAGUCGAACGAUAUUAUCCAGCUUGCUGGAUAAGAAAGUGGCGCACGGGUGCGUAACGCGUAUGCAACCUACCUUAAUCAGGGGGAUAGCCCGAAGAAAUUCGGAUUAAGACCGCAUAAAAACACAGGAUAGCAUUAUCCAAUGUUCAAAUAUUUAUAGGAUUAAGAUGGGCAUGCGUGACAUUAGUUAGUUGGCGGGGUAACGGCCCACCAAGACCACGAUGUCUAGGGGAUCUGAGAGGAUGACCCCCCACACUGGUACUGAGACACGGACCAGACUCCUACGGGAGGCAGCAGUAAGGAAUAUUGGUCAAUGGAGGGAACUCUGAACCAGCCAUGCCGCGUGCAGGAUGACGGCCCUCUGGGUUGUAAACUGCUUUUAUUCGGGAAUAAACCUACUUACGUGUAAGUAGCUGAAUGUACCGAAGGAAUAAGGAUCGGCUAACUCCGUGCCAGCAGCCGCGGUAAUACGGAGGAUCCAAGCGUUAUCCGGAUUUAUUGGGUUUAAAGGGUGCGUAGGCGGCUUUUUAAGUCAGGGGUGAAAGACGGUAGCUCAACUAUCGCAGUGCCCUUGAUACUGAAGAGCUUGAAUGAACUAGAGGUAGGCGGAAUGUGACAAGUAGCGGUGAAAUGCAUAGAUAUGUCACAGAACACCGAUUGCGAAGGCAGCUUACUAUGGUUUAAUUGACGCUGAGGCACGAAAGCGUGGGGAUCAAACAGGAUUAGAUACCCUGGUAGUCCACGCCCUAAACGAUGAAUACUCGCUGUUAGCGAUACACAGUUAGCGGCUAAGCGAAAGCGUUAAGUAUUCCACCUGGGGAGUACGGUCGCAAGAUUGAAACUCAAAGGAAUUGACGGGGGCCCGCACAAGCGGAGGAGCAUGUGGUUUAAUUCGAUGAUACGCGAGGAACCUUACCCGGGCUUGAAAGUUAGUGAAUCAUUUAGAGAUAGAUGAGUCCGCAAGGACACGAAACUAGGUGCUGCAUGGCUGUCGUCAGCUCGUGCCGUGAGGUGUUGGGUUAAGUCCCGCAACGAGCGCAACCCCUAUGUUUAGUUGCCAGCACGUCAUGGUGGGGACUCUAAACAGACUGCCUGUGCAAACAGAGAGGAAGGAGGGGACGACGUCAAGUCAUCAUGGCCCUUACGUCCGGGGCUACACACGUGCUACAAUGGGUGGUACAGAGGGCAGCAAGCUGG